rnacentral:rRNA from 1 species
CAUUGCUCUGACGGAUGCUUUUAUUAGACCAAGCCGCUGAGGACUUGAGAGUUCGAUCUCUUGUCUGACUCGUGUAAUGGUGACUCUGGAUAACCAAAUUUCUGACAAGCGCACGUACUUCUCUUCUGAGCGAGACGGCGCUGCCACUUUCGAGUGUCUGCCUUAUCAGCUAUCAACCGUUCGUUAUGCGCGACCGAUGGCUUUGACGGGUAACGGGGAAUCAGGGUUCGAUUCCGGAGAGGCAGCCUGAGAGACGGCUACCACGUCCAAGGACGGCAGCAGGCACGCAAAUUACCCAAUCCCAGCAAAUGGGGGAGGUAGUGACGAAAUCUAACGAUGCGGGCGCCCUUUCUGGGGCCCCGCAAUCGGAAUGGGCACUUUCUAAACAACCUGUUGAGAACCUACUGAAGGGCAAGUCUGGUGCCAGCAGCCGCGGUAAUUCCAGCUUCAGCAGCAUCUAUUAAAGUUGCUGCGGUUAAAAGGCUCGCAGUUGAAUGUCUGUAUCGAGCGCAGGUCAGGUGGACGUUGGGGCGUGGAAGUACGGGCAGUUGGAUGUCCGGAGGGCCUUCGUGCUCAACGGCUCCUUCGGCUUUUCCACACACCCCCGUCCGUGACAAGCCUCCUCGCUCGGGUACAUAACGGGAAUCGGUCAAACGGAGUGUGGUCGAGGGUUGAGGUGCGUGGCUUCGGUUGCGUGCUUCUUCUUUCGGCUGCGUUAAGCUCCAUCGGUUUCACGGUCACCUUGAGUAAAUCAGAGUGCUCAAAGCAGUCGUAGGGGCCUUGCGCCCUGUGAACAGUCUUGACGGACUGACUUGGUUUUGCAUGGCAUGUCGGAAGACGACGUCGUGUGCUGGCUCAGAGGAUAAAUCAGUGGUACAAGCCAGCCUCGACGUAAUGAUUAAAAGGGACGGUCGAGGGCAUUGGUAUUGCGAGGCGAGAGGUGAAAUUCUGUGACCCCCGCAAGACCUCCUGAAGCGAAAGCGUCUGCCAAGGACGUUUUCAUUAAUCAUGAACGAAAGUUAGAGGAUCGAAGGCGAUCAGAUACCGCCCUAGUUCUAACCCUAAACGAUGCCAACCAUCAAUCCGCGCGUAGCACCCUUCUUAACGGGCUCGGCGGGCAGCUCCCCACUCACGGGAAACCAGAGCCUCUGGGUUCCGGGGGGAGUCUGGUUGCAAAGCUGAAACUUAAAGGAAUUGACGGAAAGGCACCACCAGGCGUGGAGCCUGCGGCUUAAUUUGACUCAACACGGGCCAUCUCACCAGGCCAGCACUCUUGUACGAUUGACAGAUGAGAGCUCUUUCUCGAUUCAGUGGAUGGUGGUGCAUGGCCGUUCUUAGUUGGUGGAGUGAUCUGUCUGGUUAAUUCCGAUAACGAACGAGACUCUCCCCUGCUAACUAGUCGGUUGGAUCUUGAUCAGCGGGUUGCGUGCCGAGUAACUCUCGCUGUGCGUGGUUCGUAGCUGGGCCUCACGGUUCGUUGCGUCCUCGCGUGGUGUUGGAUGCCUUGGAUCACACUGCACCCCAAGUCCGCCGCUUAUGCUAUAACUCUUCUUAGAGGGAUUCACGGCACUGAAGCCGUAAGAGACUGAGAGCAAUAACAGGUCUGUGAUGCCCUUAGAUGCUCUGGGCCGCACGCGCGCUACAAUGCCGGGCACAGCAGGUGUUUCUCCUUCUCCGACAGGAGCGGGUAACCCUCUGAAAGCCAGUGUUCUUGCAAGUGCUUCCUCCCUCGUGGAGUUGCACAGAGGCGUGCUUGGGCCUGGGACUUGCAAUUCUUUCCCACCAACGAGGAAUGCCUAGUA